GCUGGUAGUUACCAAGGGUUCACCAUAUCCAGGCUCUAGGCUUCCAGUCGGGCAAAUGGGAGAUGAACAAAACAGUGAAAUAUAUGACCUGCAAGGUUCAUUUAGUUAUCCUUGUCGGAAGAGGAUGCUGAGCUCGUAGAGAAGAAAGAGGCCCCAAAGAUCCCUAAGAAGUUCGUGGUAACACUGGGACUACAGUCCGGGGACCCUCAAUACUGAAACCUGAAGACAAAGCCGGCUCAGCGGGCACUGCCUGGGUGAGUCCGGUUUGACCCACGAGAGGGCGGCAGUGUGGCCACCAUGCUCUAAGGCUGGAGAUCCAGCAGGCGACAGACCUCGUACCAGGGCUCAGAAGUCACAUGGAUGUGGACCACCAUAAUAUAAAGGACAUGGAAGUUUCACCGGGGGCUGAGAGCAUGGAAGAGUCACUUUAUCAGACUAGGGGACUAACCAAGCUUCCUGCAGGAGGAGGAGGAGGAUGCCCGAAGGACGACAGAGCCACAGGAGCUUGCCAGUUAGACGUGGCCAUGUGAUUCCCUUUGCCCAAUGAACUAUAAGUGAAACCAAUGUGUGUCAACUUCAGCACAAGAUAAGAGCCUGCAAGCUGUUCACCACUUUCCAUCCAGGCUGUUCUGUGUGUGGGGAUCUGUUGGGUGAAGUGAAGUUUCCAGCAGCCUGAAUUCCAGAGUAUGUAUCUACAGUGACCAGAAACUGAUGCUCAUCUUCCUUGGAUAUAUAGCAUUUAAAAUUAUCAUGUUUGAUUAAAGCCACUGAGCUUUGGGGUUGUUUGUUACUGCAGCAGAACCUAUUGUAUCUUGACUGAUGAACCUAGGGAGUCUUUUUUCUUCUUCUUUUUUAUUUUGGCUGCAUUGGGUCUUUGUUGCUGCAGGUGGGCUUUCUCUAGUUGUGGCGAGCAGGGGUUACUCUUUGUUGCAGUGCGCGGGUUUCUCAUUGUGGUGGCUUCUCUUGUUGUGGAGCGCAGGCUCUAGGCGCGUGGGCUCAGUAGUUGUGGCACGCGAGUUCAGUAUUUGUAGCGCAUGGGCUUAGUUGCUCAGCGGCAUGUGGGAUCUUCCCGGAUUGAACGUGUGUCCCCUGCAUUGGCAGGUGGAUUCUUAACCACUGUGCCACCAGGGAAGUCCUAGGGAGUCUUAAUUUUAUUUUGAACCAUUUCUGUAUACCAAAAUUAUUUGGAAUCAUGUAAACGGCUCCCUAUCCUCACUAAUAAACUUA